rnacentral:rRNA from 1 species
UACGUAGGUGGCGAGCGUUGUCCGGAUUUACUGGGCGUAAAGGGCGCGUAGGCGGCCACUUAAGUCAGAUGUGAAAAAUUGGGGCUCGACCCUAAUCUUGCAUCUGAAACUGGGUGGCUUGAGUAUGGAAGAGGCAAGUGGAAUUCCUAGUGUAGCGGUGAAAUGCGUAGAUAUUAGGAGGAACACCAGUGGCGAAGGCGACUUGCUGGGCCAAAACUGACGCUGAGGCGCGAAAGCGUGGGGAGCAAACAGGAUUAGAUACCCGGGUAGUCCCU